rnacentral:pre_miRNA from 1 species
UAUGACAAUCAAAUCUAAGUCAGAGUAACAUCAAACUGACUUAUGUCUGGUUGUCAAAGU